GACGGAAGGUGCAAGCGUUGCUCGGAAUCACUGGGCGUAAAGGGCGCGUAGGCGGUCUCGCAAGUCUGGCGUGAAAGCCCAAGGCUCAGCCUUGGAAGUGCGCUCGAAACGGCGAGGCUGGAGUGCCGGAGGGGAGAGUGGAAUUCCCGGUGUAGUGGUGAAAUGCGUAGAUAUCGGGAGGAACACCAGUGGCGAAGGCGGCUUUCUGGUCUGCUCUUGACGCUGAGGCGCGAAAGCUAGGGUAGCAAACGGG
rnacentral:rRNA from 1 species